CUAUAAAUAAACCGAAUCACAACGGCAGAAAAAUCGCUGCCAAACUGUCGACCGAGACCGUGACAGUGACAUUCAACCGUUUAUAAGUUGAAGGUGCGUUACCAAGCAACUGCCUCCUGCCCCGAAUAUAAGGGAGUGUUCUAGGUAGGUCAAGGGCGCACAGUAACUCACAGUAGCAAUUGCUCGUACAAGUUGGCACCAAUUCAAAGGGCAGCACUGUAACGGGAAACAGGUGCUUGCUUUGAUCGCUACGCCUUUAAUGAACCGUUGUUGAGCCGCCCACAACCCUUCUUCUUCGAUUUCGAUGUUCGAGAAACAGUCCAACUGCUGCCAGCUAAUAGUGCAGAUCGGGGAAAGGAAUCAGUUUCGUAUCGUUUAGCACACAGCUGAGCGCUACCAAAUAACGCACGUCAUCAUCCCAGAGCUGUUAGUGGAAAUUCACUUUUAAGUGGUUUCAUCGCCCGGCGCGCUCUUAUUCCCAGGAACGCUAUUUCCGAUUCAUACGGCCGUAUUUCCUCGUACCGGUAGUGAAAUAAAAUAUGUUACACCCAGCAACUAGCUCAAUGGGUUCGCUUUGCCGGUGGUGGCUCAAGCGUGGUACGGUACGGACGGUACUGGUCUGCCUCAGGCGAUGCUACGAACGGCACAACAGUGUCCAGCGUGAGUUCAUCGCUGUACCGGUGCUCCGGUGAAGCCAGCUGUAAAAUGUAACUAGCAACAGCAAAAUAAACCCCAAAAACAAAACUAGCGGUGCGUUUAGAGGAGGAAAAGCGAAGCUUCUUUCGAGGAAGAAAGCCCAUGGAGACGCCCAGUAGUUUGUGAAGUGAUGGGAGGGAUUGAUUCCAAUUGGAUUGGGUUUAGAAGAAAGGCCCAGUACUGCGGGGAGGAGUGUUAGUUUCGAUGGAAAUAGUUUCCUUCAAUAAAGCGCCUGUAUUUGGGAGCGAAAACUGAAAA